UACGUAGGGCGCAAGCGUUGUCCGGAAUUAUUGGGCGUACAGGGAGCGUAGGCGGUUGGGUAAGCCCUCCGUGAAAUCUCCGGGCCUAACCCGGAAAGCGCGGAGGGGACUGCUCGGCUAGAGGAUGGGAGAGGAGCGCGGAAUUCCCGGUGUAGCGGUGAAAUGCGUAGAGAUCGGGAGGAAGGCCGGUGGCGAAGGCGGCGCUCUGGAACAUUUCUGACGCUGAGGCUCGAAAGCGUGGGGAGCAAACAGG
rnacentral:rRNA from 1 species